GACGAACGCUGGCGGCGUGCUUAACACAUGCAAGUCGAACGGGCCUGUCUUCUUUUUUGGGGGUGGGUUGAGUGGCGAACGGGUGAGUAUCACGUGAGUAACCUGCCCUUCGGUCCUGGAUAACCGCUUGAAAGGGCGGCUAAUACGGGGUGGUCCGGUUGGUCCGCAUGGGCUGGUCGGGAUAGAUUCACUGUUUUUGGUGUUUCGUCGGGGGAUGGGCUCGCGGCCUAUCAGCUUGUUGGUGGGGUGAUGGCCUACCAAGGCGGUGACGGGUAGCCGGCGUGAGAGGGUGGGCGGCCACACGGGGACUGAGAUACGGCCCAGACUCCUGCGGGAGGCAGCAGUGGGGGGUAUUGCACAAUGGGCGGAAGCCUGAUGCAGCGACGUCGCGUGAGGGAGGGAGGCCUUCGGGUUGUGAACCUCUGUUUCCGGUGGUGAAGGCCCUGUCCGUGUGGUGGGGUUGACGGUAGCCGGGGAUGAAGCGCCGGCUAACUACGUG
rnacentral:rRNA from 1 species